rnacentral:rRNA from 1 species
GACGAACGCUGGCGGCGUGCCUAAUACAUGCAAGUAGAACGCUGAAGGAGGAGCUUGCUUCUCUGGAUGAGUUGCGAACGGGUGAGUAACGCGUAGGUAACCUGCCUGGUAGCGGGGGAUAACUAUUGGAAACGAUAGCUAAUACCGCAUAAGAGUAGAUGUCGCAUGACAUUUGCUUAAAAGGUGCAAUUGCAUCACUACCAGAUGGACCUGCGUUGUAUUAGCUAGUUGGUGGGGUAACGGCUCACCAAGGCGACGAUACAUAGCCGACCUGAGAGGGUGAUCGGCCACACUGGGACUGAGACACGGCCCAGACUCCUACGGGAGGCAGCAGUAGGGAAUCUUCGGCAAUGGACGGAAGUCUGACCGAGCAACGCCGCGUGAGUGAAGAAGGUUUUCGGAUCGUAAAGCUCUGUUGUAAGAGAAGAACGAGUGUGAGAGUGGAAAGUUCACACUGUGACGGUAUCUUACCAGAAAGGGACGGCUAACUACGUG